GUGCCAGCCGCCGCGGUAAUACCCGCAGCCCAAGUGGUGCUCGUUAUUAUUGGGCCUAAAACGUCCGUAGCCGGACCUGUAAAUCCAUGUGGAAAUCGGAGGGCCUAACCCUCCGAAGGGCGUGGACACUGCAGGCCUUGGGACUGGGUGAGUUCGGAGGUACUUCCGGGGUAGGGGUGAAAUCCUGUAAUCCUGGGAGGACCACCAGUGGCGAAGGCGUCCGAAUAGAACGGAUCCGACGGUCAGGGACGAAGCCCUGGGGCGCAAACGGGAUUAGAAACCCUCGUAGUCC
rnacentral:rRNA from 1 species